ACGUGACCCGCAGGGGCGGUGCCCUUUGGACCGCCCACCCCUCGCCCCCGGCCCUGGAACUGGGCCUCUUCGCCUCUCCCACUUCGUAUCUGGUCCAUCCUCUCAGUCUGAUCACCUUGAUGUCCCUCACCUGACAGAUUACCCAGCCGCAGACUGCCCAGCUGAAAGAGACCAUGGAUUUUUUUUUUUUUAAAAAAAACGUUAUACAGGUGAGGACACAGCAAUCCUCCAGAGGAUGCAGCAACAAGACACCAUCUUGGAAGCAGAGCAGCCCUCACCAGACACCAAAUCGGCCAGCCCAUUGAUCUUAGACUUCCCAGCCUCCAGAACUAUGAAAAAUAAAUUUCUUUUGUUUAUAAAUUA
rnacentral:lncRNA from 1 species